rnacentral:rRNA from 1 species
AUGAAACUACUAACCUUUCUCUGGCCAGCGGACAGAGGGCAUGGGAUGGUGUUGUGCAUGUCCAGCGGCGGGAGGAAGGAGGAGCUGGCAUCAGGGAGCACGACGACAGCAGGGAAGUCAAUGCCGCGGCAUGCCGAAAGCCAAAGGAAUGCGCCGCCUUCACGCACGCGCCCUCCACCCCACAGCCGCCAUGGAACCGUCGCGCCCCCGUGCCACAAGGGCCGGCUCCCUCAGCUUCGUUGCCGCGCCUUGCACGCAGCGCCGUCUCCCUGGCCGCCUGUUGCAUUCGGUGCCGCCGCCGAUGGUCGAGGGAGGAAAGGGACCCUGCCGCCACCGACGAAGGCCGAGCCCGCUGCGUCCCGUGCCGCUGCCGCUACUCGAUGGAGGAGAGGGACCACGCCGCCCGUCGACAUAGGUUGA